ACUCAAGCCUUUUUUCCCCUGCUGGGGGCCGAGGCCCGGCCGGGAGCAGAGUCCGGCUGCCUGGAGCGGGUGGCGCGUGUCUGCAGCUGCUCCGGGUUGCCCGCUAGGCGCGCCGUCCCCAGCCCCGCCGCCGGCCCUCGGUACGCCCGGCCGCCUGCACCCCCAGGAGCAGCUGCAGUGAAUUAAACACAGAAGUGGAGCUGGGGGACUGAUUAGAAGCCUCAUUCAGUGCACCUGGGCCCCAGCAGGCCCAGCCAGGCGUGGAGGAAGAGGCAUUGAGGACUUUCCUUACCUGUUUUUCCAGCUCACCCACUGCCAGCAGAGACCUCCCAGCUAACUGGAACCUGUGUCCACAGAAUGCUGUCCAGUUUCAACGAGUGGUUUUGGCAGGACAGGUUCUGGUUACCACCCAAUGUCACGUGGACAGAGCUAGAAGACCGGGAUGGCCGUGUCUACCCCCACCCCCAGGACUUGCUGGCAGCCCUGCCCCUGGCGCUGGUCCUCCUGGCCAUGCGCCUUGCCUUUGAGAGAUUCAUUGGCCUGCCCCUGAGCCGGUGGCUGGGUGUGAGGGAUCAGACCAGGAGGCAAGUGAAGCCCAACGCCACGCUGGAGAAACACUUCCUCACGGAAGGGCACAGGCCCAAGGAGCCCCAGCUGUCUCUCCUGGCCGCCCAGUGUGGCCUCACGCUGUGGCAGACCCAGCGAUGGUUCCGGAGACGCCGGAACCAGGAUCGACCCCAGCUGACCAAGAAGUUCUGUGAGGCCAGCUGGAGGUUUCUCUUCUACCUGUCCUCCUUCGUGGGCGGCCUCUCGGUCCUGUACCACGAGUCAUGGCUGUGGGCACCAGUAAUGUGCUGGGACAGGUACCCAAACCAGACUCUGAAGCCAUCCCUGUACUGGUGGUACCUCUUGGAGCUGGGUUUCUACCUCUCACUGCUAAUCAGGCUGCCCUUUGAUGUCAAGCGCAAGGAUUUCAAGGAGCAGGUGAUACACCACCUCGUGGCGGUCAUCCUGAUGACCUUUUCCUACAGCGCCAACCUGCUGCGCAUUGGCUCUCUGGUGCUGCUGUUACACGAUUCCUCCGACUACCUGCUGGAGGCCUGUAAGAUGGUCAACUACAUGCAGUAUCAGCAAGUGUGCGACGCUCUCUUCCUCAUCUUCUCCUUUGUCUUCUUCUACACCCGACUGGUCCUCUUUCCCACCCAUGGGAUUGGAGUUGAUGAUAAAGAAUCAGCAGGAAGGCUGGGUACAGCGGCUCAUGCCUGUAAUCCCAGCACUUUGGAGGCUGAGGUGAACAGAUCACUUGAGGUCAGGAGUUCCAGACCAGCCUGGCCAACAUGGCAAAAACCACCUCUCUACUAAAAAUACAAAAAUUAGCUGGGCGUGGUGGCGGGCGUCUAUAAUCCCAGCUACUUGGGAGGCUGAGGCAGGAGAAUCGCUGGAACCUGGGAAGCGGAGGUUGCAGUGAGCCGAGAUCACGCCAUUGCACUCCAGCCUGGGUGACAAAGCAAGAUUCCGUCUCAAAAAAACAAAAAAAACUACAGCUGAGUUUGAGAAGAGGAUGUGGUGGGAGCUGGACUCCAGGACAGUGUCCCAGGCAACAAGCAAGGAGUUGUUUGAGGGGAGGAGCAGUGCUGGGGAACAUUCUUUCCAACUGGCUUGGGUUGCACAGUGAAAAUGAAGCCCCGCCCCUCCCAGCCUCCCUGGAAGACAAAGCCCCACCUCCGUCCGGCUACCUGGGAGAUGAGGCCCCACCCCUUUUUUACUCCUUGGGAGAUGAGGCCCCGCCCCUCUUAAACUCUGGGAGAUGGAGCCCUGCUCCCUGUGUCUUCCUGGGAGAUGAGGCCCCACCGCCUGCCUUCCUGACAUGAAGCCCCUCCCCUAUGAGGAUCCUCUACACCACAUACUACGAGUCCAUCACCAACAGGGGCCCCUUCUUCGGCUACUACUUCUUCAACGGGCUUCUGAUGUUGCUGCAGCUGCUGCACGUGUUCUGGUCUUGCCUCAUUCUGCGCAUGCUCUAUAGCUUCAUGAAGAAGGGCCAGAUGGAGAAGGACAUUCGUAGUGAUGUAGAAGAAUCAGACUCCAGUGAGGAGGAGGCGGCGGCCCAGGAACCUCUGCAGCUAAAGAACGGGGCAGCUGGAGGGCCCAGGCCAGCCCCCACUGAUGGCCCUCGGAGCCGGGGGGCCGGGCGUCUGACCAACAGGCACCCAACAGCCACAUAGCCGGGCGGGGCUGGCUGUAAGGGGUUGCCCCCCCGCCAGCGCCUUGGAUAUUUCUGGGGUGACUGGACUGGCGCCCCUGGGCCACCUUUCUGGAGACAGGGAGGGCCCCACCCGGGGUGGGCUGAUGAUCUGUCUCCAGCCCCUUCCUUCUGCCCACCCGCCCUUCUUCCCUCUGGGCAACUGGACAGAGCUGGGAGCCAGCAGCUGGAUGCUGUGGCUGGCCAGAGACACCUCCAGGCUGUAGCCUGGGGGCUGGGGGGAGCCCCAGGCUGAAAAGGGUCCAAUUAAAACAAAUGGAGCCAAA